rnacentral:rRNA from 1 species
AUUGAACGCUGGCGGCAUGCCUUACACAUGCAAGUCGAACGGCAGCACGGGGCAACCUGGUGGCGAGUGGCGAACGGGUGAGUAAUGCAUCGGAACGUACCUUUCAGUGGGGGAUAACGUAGCGAAAGUUACGCUAAUACCGCAUAUUCUGUGAGCAGGAAAGCAGGGGAUCGCAAGACCUUGCGCUGAUUGAGCGGCCGAUGUCAGAUUAGCUAGUUGGUGAGGUAAAGGCUCACGAAGGCGACGCGCUGUAGCGGGUCUGAGAGGAUGAUCCGCCACACUGGAACUGAGCCACGUUACAGACUCCUACGGGAGGCAGCAGUGGGGAAUUUUGGACAAUGGGGGCAACCCUGAUCCAGCCAGGCCGCGGGAGUGAAGAUGGCCUUCGGGUGGUAAAGCUCUUUCGGCCGGGAAGAAAUCGCACGGGCUAAUACCCUGUGUGGAUGACGGUACCGGAAUAAGAAGCACCGGCUAACUACGUGCCAGCCGCCGCCGUAAGAC